UUAUUGGAGAGUUUGAUCCUGGCUCAGGACGAACGCUGGCGGCGUGCCUAAUACAUGCAAGUCGAGCGAGGGUUUUCGGACCCUAGCGGCGGACGGGUGAGUAACACGUAGGCAACCUGCCUCUCAGACCGGGAUAACAUAGGGAAACUUAUGCUAAUACCGGAUAGGUUUUUGGAUUGCAUGA
rnacentral:rRNA from 1 species